AGAUUGAACGCUGGCGGCAUGCCUUACACAUGCAAGUCGAACGGCAGCACGGGAGCAAUCCUGGUGGCGAGUGGCGAACGGGUGAGUAAUAUAUCGGAACGUGCCCAGUCGUGGGGGAUAACGCAGCGAAAGCUGUGCUAAUACCGCAUACGAUCUAUGGAUGAAAGCGGGGGAUCGCAAGACCUCGCGCGAUUGGAGCGGCCGAUAUCAGAUUAGCUAGUUGGUGGGGUAAAAGCCUACCAAGGUCGACGAUCUGUAGCUGGUCUGAGAGGACGACCAGCCACACUGGAACUGAGACACGGUCCAGACU
rnacentral:rRNA from 1 species